rnacentral:lncRNA from 1 species
UGGAAAGCUCCAUGCUUUGGUUCCCUGGACCAUCGGGGACACUGCCCUCACCCAGCUGCUCUGGCUUCCAGCUCUCAGAGGACUCUGGUGCCUCAGACCGAGGUUCCCCACUGCCGCUUUCCAUCAGGUUGUUCAUGGGGCUGUCCUGAAUUUGGGCUGACUCAGGCUCGGUACUCAGGGAAAUCUCCUCAUCAUCUGCUGAAUGAAGAGGAGCUUCUCUAUCAGGGGGACAGCAACCUGGCUUCCAGAAUAGAUCACUGGCUUCUGGACCUCAAAUGGAGAAGAUAACCACAAAACCUAGGAUAUGUCUGGAGAGAACCAUGGUUAUUGUAUUUUAGAAAAAAGAACCACACUUAUGACACUAGCCUAGGACAAGACAUGAAGUUCAUGCUGAAAAUACCUGGGUGGAUGGAGGAAGUGAUCUCAAAUCGGAAUUGCAGCUGUCCACUCACAUGAUCUGUUGGAAGCCUGCGGCCAAGUGUGUAGCUGACCACCCUAUCCCUAGAAGGAAAUAAGCACCAUCACAGUUCUGGUCAAUACCUCUCUUCCUAAUGACCAUGCAGUGUGCUUUCUAUACCAGUGGGUGAGGCAGGCAAGCCCAGGGAAGUCCUGAUGUGCUCAAUAGCAAUACAAAACUGUAAGGAAGUCCUUAUCAAAUACAGAUGCCCCUUGAACUACCAUGUAUUAUGACCCAAUAAACUCAUCAAAAGUUGAAAAUACUGGCAAUUCAAAAAUGCAUUUAAUACA